AGCGAACGCUGGCGGCGUGCUUAACACAUGCAAGUCGUGCGGGAAAGGGACUUUCGGGUCCUGAGUAGAGCGGCGCACGGGUGCGUAAGACGCGGGUGACCUAUCCGCGAGGCGGGGAUA
rnacentral:rRNA from 1 species